AACGAACGCUGGCGGCAGGCUUAACACAUGCAAGUCGAACGGAUCCUUCGGGAUUAGUGGCAGACGGGUGAGUAACGCGUGGGAACGUACCCUUUGCUACGGAAUAACUCAGGGAAACUUGUGCUAAUACCGUAUGUUCCCUACGGGGGUAAGAUUUAUCGGCAAAGGAUCGGCCCGCGUUGGAUUAGCUAGUUGGUGGGGUAAUGGCCUACCAAGGCGACGAUCCAUAGCUGGUCUGAGAGGAUGAUCAGCCACACUGGGACUGAGACACGGCCCAGAAUACGACGGGAGGCAGCAGUGGGGAAUAUUGGACAAUGGGCGCAAGCCUGAUCCAGCCAUGCCGCGUGAGUGAUGAAGGUCUUAGGAUUGUAAAGCUCUUUCACCGGUGAAGAUAAUGACGGUGGCCGGAGAAGAAGCCCCGGCUAACUUCGUG
rnacentral:rRNA from 1 species